CUGUAAACUAAACCAAAAAUACUUGGUAAGAUUUUGAGUUUUUGCAGUGUAAAAAKUACAUUUUGGUAAACUAUAUUUCUAAGAUGAACUGUCUUUUAUGCAACAUACAGUUUUUGUUAGAAUAACCAUACAUAAUGUUUUAUGACUAAACUAAGUUUGAUCCAUGAAAAGGAAUCGGAAUUUCCAACUAAAACUUCAGUAAAUUACAGUUUUUGGUAGUUUUGGUCCAUUUUCUGCCUCACCAGGGUUCCGGUACGUGUGAUAAGGCUCUGAUCCGGAUCCUGGUGAGCCGCUCCGAGGUCGACCUGCAGAAGGUCGUGGAGGAAUACCGGGCAAUGUUUGGGAGAACCCUACAUGAGGACAUCAUGAAUGACACCAAAGGACAUUAUCAGAAAGUCCUGCUUGGGCUGUGUGGACCGAACUGAGAACCUGAAGACCUCUGAGGAAGCAAAAAUCARUCAAAUUCAAGUUGUAAUAAAGCCACUCCUUCCACUUAUAUCUCUUUGUUUUCUGUUGCUUGGAGAAAAUUGAGGAAGAAUUAAAAUGUUUGCUGGA